AACUUUUAGCAACGGAUCACUUGGCUCUAGCAUCGAUGAAGAACGCAGCGAAAUGCGAUAAGUAAUGCGAAUUGCAGAAUUCAGUGAAUCAUCGAGUCUUUGAACGCACAUUGCGCCCGCCAGCAUUCUGGCGGGCAUGCCUGUUCGAGCGUCAUUUCCACCCUCAGGCCCUGCCUGGUGUUGGGGGCCUGCGCCUGCAGCCCCUGAAAGACAGCGGCGGUCCCGAUCUCAGGUCCCGAGCGUAGUACUUUACGUCGCUCCGGGCGCCUGGCGGGCUCCGGCCGUAAGCCUCUAUUUACAAGGUUGACCUCGGAUCAGGUAGGAAUACCCGCUGAACUUAAGCAUAUCAAUAAGCGGAGGCU
rnacentral:misc_RNA from 1 species